AUGAGAGCGCUCGCGGUUGUGUCCGUGCUAACCACGGCGGCCAUGGCCAUCGCCAGCGCACGCGCCGCACAGUGCGGUUCGCAGGCCGGCGGGGCUACCUGCCCGAACUGCCUCUGCUGCAGUCGCUUCGGCUGGAUGUUGCUGCACCGCAACAAUAGGGCGUGCCAAGCUAAGGGAUUCUACACCUAUGACGCCUCCCUAGCUGCCGCGGCCGCCUUUCCAGGCUUCGGCACCAUAGGCGGCACCGCCAUCCGAAAGCAUGAGGUGGCCGCCUUCCUAGCGCAGACCUCCCAUGAGACCACCGGCGGGUGGGCUACAGCCCCAAACGGGCCCUACGCGUGGGGCUAUUGCUUCAAACAGGAGCGCUCUCGGUCCAACUACUGCACCCCAAGCGUGAUAUGA
rnacentral:rRNA from 1 species